rnacentral:rRNA from 4 species
CACGUAGGGGGCGAGCGUUGUCCGGAUUUAUUGGGCGUAAAGAGCUCGUAGGCGGUUUGGCAAGUCGGGUGUGAAAUUUCGAGGCUCAACCUCGAAACGCCACUCGAUACUGCCAUGACUGGAGUCCGGUAGAGGAGUGCGGAAUUCCUGGUGUAGCGGUGAAAUGCGCAGAUAUCAGGAGGAACACCAACGGCGAAGGCAGCACUCUGGGCCGGUACUGACGCUGAGGAGCGAAAGCGUGGGGAGCAAACAGG